AUGACGAUAUCAGUUGAAAGGCAAAAGUUGUCUUCUUUUGCGCAUUUUCCAUUGAAAGGAGUGAUUUCAAACACGAUAGUAUGCUUGCUUGUUUACUCUAUCGCUUCCAAUUUUACUACCACUCUUUUCUCUCUCCAUAUUUCAUGGUGCUACUCUUUAAAGAUUUUGUCAUCACCAUUCACCGCUACAUUUGAGAAGCACAGCCCGAAGACGUCGCGAAACAACCGUCGAAACAUUGAAGGCAAUUCCGGCGACCGGGUAUCAUCGACCGGCGACAAAGACCACAAUUUCGACGGUAAUUUCUACCCCUCUUUUUUUUCAAUAUUUUUUUUUUCUUUUUUUACCCUAAAAAUUGGGUUUUUGGAUACAGUUAACUACAAGACGCCGCCUACAAGACAAAGGCCACAAGACGCCGGCGGAAAUCAGUAUUUUAGCCGCCGCCUCCUCCGACACGCAAUUAACUACAUCACGACCGCCGCCUACGCUGCCUCCGCCGCGCGAAUCCGUAGCUUUUAUCUGGAGACGUACAACAAGAAGCUAGAUGAUUGUAGCACUCAAGGGUCACCGCCAAACCCUGAUUUGUUGUAUUGGGAGACAGUUUGUGGGAGGAACAGAGGAAAAGUGCAGGGGUUGGGUCAGGGAGAUCAUUUGUACUACAACUCUUCAUCUGGGCGAGGAGGAGUUGGCUCUUCACAACCAUAUGAGCCAUCGAUUUUUUCUCAGCUAGAGGCGCAGGUGGAGGCCAAGGUCGCUGCACGGAUGGUAGAAGUGGAGGCAAAGGUCGCAGCACGUCUGGAAGAGUCAAACCGGGUCCUCGUGCAGGAAAUGAUGCAGAACAUGACUAACUUUGGCCACUUGUUCUCAGGUUGCAACACAUGACCCUCUCCACAACGCAGACCAGAGGAUGACCCGGGGUUUGGUGGUGGCGGCACUAGUGCUACAGAGACACCCGCCACAGUGUAGUUGGUUUGGUUUUGGCAACUAGCUAGAUUACUAACUUAUAGUUUCCAUAUACUUAGUCUAACUUAUAUUUAUCGGCAAAUAUCUAGUUUUGUUUUUAGGUGUCUCGGUAUAAUUUUUUGGAACUCGACUUUUACUCGAUUUCCUGACACCGAGAUUUAUUUUGCGUACAUAUAAUUCAUCAAUGUAGCUUGUUUAAUUAUAGACGUUUAGUGUCUAAAUUUCCGGACAUUGAGAUGUAUUUUGUGUACAUAAAUCUAAUCUAUUUCAUUUUUAAGUUGCA